rnacentral:lncRNA from 1 species
AAAAUACGGAUUUUUUUUGUGUUAUUAAAAUUUGCUGUUACAAAAUAUUAGAAAUUAUUUUAAAUUAAGGAAUGUAUCUCCCUCAUGCAAAGCUCUGAUUCCUUUCACGGAUUUGGCUAUACUUUUUGGACCUUUUGGAUUAUAGCUCUUCAUCUUUUAUAUAAGCUUUGGAUUUCAAAUAUUUUGGCCACGAGCAUCACUGAAGAGACAUGUAUUGUCGAAAUGCGCAUCUGGUGCAAGAAAAUUGGUACCGUUAAUUUUAUUGAA